AGCCAAUAGGAGAGAAGGCUUCUGUUACUCCCGUCAACCUUUUUACAUCAGGUGGGCCAGAGGGCUUCUCAGCCUCCAGCAUAGCCAACAGGCAGGGUGUUAGACGCCUGCAGCAGGACCAGCACAGCACUCAGCCAGUCCCCAGAAGCUUAGCCAGGAGCACUGCUCUCUGGAGCCCAGCAGAAAUCUGAUAAGGGGAAAUGCUCACUCAAAAGAGGAGAAACGGAGAGCUGCUGUUUCUCAGGGAAGAGAGUGAGAAGCAGGAGAAGAGAAUACAGGAGAAAGCAGGGGGACAGGAAGAAAGAGCAGAGCAAACUGCCCAUAAAAACUGCCCAGAGACCUUGUUGAAUGUUUUCUCAGACAAAACAUAAAUAUAUUUACAAGCGUACUAUUGUUGAAAAUUAAUACUAGGCACCAGCUAAAUGCAGGAAGAUUUGGACUGUGGCUGGAAGUGCAGUCCUUCACCUGGUGGAGCUGGUGCAUGUAGGUCUUCAUCCCCAGGAUCUGGCUUUGGUUUCAAAACCUCUCCAUUGUGGCAGACUUCGAUAUGACCAACUGCCUUACUGAAGGCAUCAUGCUGGGCCAAGCAGGCAAAGCCCAGUCCUAAUGUCUUCCAGGUUAAGGCACCGGCACCCAAUCCUUCUUGCGCUGCGAUGUUCAUCGCAACCUUCGUUAUCGAUUCGAGAGAGUGCAGACAAGCAUGUGUUCUCCUCCGAAGCAUGUGAUGUCAGACAUUUUAUUACGUUGCCGUUGGCAAGUCUUCUGCAGACACAAGUUGGACAAAAGGACUUAAUGUGCAUUUCAAGAGAUGGAGUUGGCGGUGCCCGAUAAACCAAUGGAGGUGCUCAGACAGACCCUGGCGAGUGAAACCCUUCCAUUUCUGGGCGAUGUUAAGGCCAAUUACAUGUCAUACUGCAGAAUCCCUUCACUUAGUCUGAGUGAGUCAUCAUCAGGACAGGCUGCUGCUGUACUGCUAUGGAAGCUAUAAGCAAACUGCCAUGGAAACACAGCCAACUAAUUAGCAAAACAGAAACUGAGUCUGCAAUAAUUAUGUCAAAUUACAAAAUAAUGUAAGUUCCCCCUAAAGAAAUGUGCAAUAAAUUAGUAACACAAAGCAUAAAAUAACCACAACAGUUAUUUAAUGAAGCUGCAAACUCAAAAUUACAACUGACUACUAAGAAAGUACACUUGGCUUCUAGAGCAGAAAUCUAAGAGGUCUAAAAUGCCUCUGAGUUUUUUAGUGAAUUUCAGCACCAGUGAUUCAUUUAAGUCAUUGUUUAUCUAAAGAAUCCACACUCCUUGUUCCCAAAGCCUUAAUUGGCUUCUGAUUGAAAGGAAACCACAAACAAACUGCAGGCACUCCGGCCCACUAGAAUUGGAAGUACAUCUGCAGACACCCCGGCCCACUAGAAUUGGAAGUACAUCUGCAGACACCCCAGCCCUCAAGGACUGGAGUUAAACCUGCAGACACUGCGGCACUCCAGGACUGGAGUUAAAGCUCAGACACUGCAGCCCUCCAGGACUGGAGUUAAACCUGCAGACACUGCGGCCCUCCAGGACCGGAGUUAAGCCUGCAGACACUGAGGCCCUCCAGGACUGGACUUGAACCUGCAGGCGAUACAAUCCUCCAAGACUGGAAUUUCACACCCCUGCCUUAACCAGAAAGUUGCAGGUUUCAAAAACCCACACAUGCCACCUCUGUAAUCUGUAUUCACCUCCAAUUUAAAGGCACUGUAAAGGGGAUUAAAAUAGUUAAAAUAUCCAUAAAUCAUCAUAAAGGGAUGUAUCGACUUCACGUCCACCACCAAAUAUCUAUUCAAAGUAAUGCCAAUAACACAUCUCAAGUGUGACAUAAAAUCUGUAUUGAAAGAUCUUUAGAAUUGUAUGUGCAUCAUUGGGACUGCUCCACCUCUCACAUAUGGCUAGCAUUGUUUGACAACUUUUGUUGUGACAGAGUUUCACUGGAAACAAAAACACAGGAUAUUAAAGGUCUACUGUAAUUAUCUUAGUUGGGAUUUAGACCAUGAGACCUUUGAACUCAACUGAACUAGAGCCAUAAUGGCAUAUCCUAAUGAGCAGCAGCUGCACUGCCUUUAAUUGGAUCUGGUGGAUUUAAGCUGAGAUGCACACCCCCUGCAUGGUUGUUAGAGGUUCUCAAAUUGCUUAAACAAUUUUUAAAAAAUUUGGCAUCUCCAUUUCCACAUGAAUUUGGAAUCCAAUUCGCAAACUAUGUACAAGCAUGCUCAUAUAUGUCCCCUGCUGCCAGCUCAGGAGAGUGAAGAGUCACAGUUCUCCUCCAAAUCAUGUGGUGUCAGCCAGAUGCUCCUUUUCACACCAAAGCCACAAGCCGGACACACGCAGGGCAGGAGGAGACCCAGUCAUACGCGCGUGCAGAGAGCAAGCCCUGGGUGUCUGGUUGGCCAACAGGGGUUGCUUGAGAAAUGAACACUGCUAUCCCCACCGACUUCCCCUAAAGCAAACUGUGUGCUCCCUCUGCAGGGCUGCUGGUCAGUUGGCAGUGGCACGGGUCAGAUUCGAUCUGAGACCGUGCUGCUCCCUCAUGCACCGCAAGCGGUGCUUUUACCUAGUGAGCUACCCAGCAGCCCCGAGAGGGAGUUUUUAAUGUUGACUGAACACAUCAGUGUAACACAUUACAGAUGAGGGGAUUACACUCUUUAGAACCACCAACCCCAACACCAAGCUCAAAACUACUGAAUGUACCAUACACACAGUCUGUGUCUGUACACAUUCAUUACUUUGUGGGCUUUCAGAUGCCAUGUGUAUGUUUGUGAAUGUGUAUGUAUGCACGUGUCUAAGUGUGUGUUUGUGUGUGUCCAUGCGUAUGUGCAUAGGUGUGUGCAUGCGUAUACAUGCUUGCUUGGGUUGGGUGCAUACAUGCAUGCAUGCUUUCAUGCCUAGGGUGUAUGUGUGUGUGCUUACUUGGGUACGAUGUGUGUGUGCACGAGAGAGA